CUCACUCCAGGCAUUCAAGACUAAAAAAUCUGAUUAGCUCUUGCAUACCAAACACUCCUUUAUUUGGGGAGUUAAGUGGGGUGUAGGGAUUUUUGUGGAGAAAAUACCACUGAUUUCUUUCCCUGAAAAGCCCAGAAGAAAGGUUGUUCUUCCACACUGCCCAGGAGAACUAAAGCGAUCUCCUGGUGGAGUAAGUGCAGCGAUCUGAUCAGCAGUGUCCAGGUUUCUAUUUCAGCACAAGCGACAUCAAAAUGUCAUGGCUUCCAACAGCGUCAGUUGUGCUGGGUCUUAGGAUGAGUUUCAGGAGUCUGAGUGGGCUUUGCAGAGUGCUUCCUUUGCCCUCUGUUGUACUUGGAUUUUUCCUUGGGCCACCAGCUCACAGAAAAGAGAAAACUCAGAGCAGGCAGUCCCGAGAAGCAUCCUGAGCCGGGAUGUGGUGUCCUUUCCAUCCCCCCAGCCAUUGGGCAGCUACAGAAGUCGGGGGACUUCAGACUCUAAGUUAAACUUCAGCAAAGUACAGAAGAGGGAGUGAGUAAGCACAAGGAUGUGCUCAUGACAAUGGCGGAGAGAUGAGAGUUACAGUGACCACAUGCAAGUGCUUUUCCAUCCUUUGUCUUUCAACAUCUCCUUGGUCACCUCAAGACAGUUGGUCAUCUCAGAGCCAGAGGGGGUAGACACUCACAGGUUGCAAAGGGGGAUGGGAUGCAGGAAUGGAGGUUGAGCCGCAGAGACCUUGCAAACCAGACCAGCCUCUGCUUUCUUGGGAGAGGUGAAUGAAAAAGGAAAGAGUAAAUAGAAGAGCAUUUCGGAAUGGACUGCACAUCCUCAGAUGCAUCAUCUCAUUUCAUUCUUAGAAACCUUAAGCAGCCGGUAUUGCCUUCCUGAUUCUAUUUGCCACUGAACUGACUGAGGUGCAGAGAUCUAUGGGACUUGUUUUUGUUUGUGUUAGCUGAGUAACAGACCUGACCUGGAAACAAGGCCUCAUGAGCUCAAAGGCCCACAGACAGACACAUCACAGUCUUCCUUGCUUAUUCAGCAGUAUCCAUGUUACAAACCACUGCUGCUUUGGAAUGUGAUUAUCUGGGUAUCCAACUGUGAUAGUUAACAUAUUGUCAAUUUACUUGGAUCAACUAAAAGACCCACUUUCUAACUGAGGAGGAAGACCCUCCCUGAGGGUGGGCAGUGUGCUCCAGCAGCAACCCAGAUCAAGGGAUCUGAGGGAAGCCUGCCUUAGGUCCUUGCUGGUGUGCUGAUCUACCCUGUCAAUGCCACUGCUGCUACAAUACUUUGCUGACAUCAGAGCCCAGCUUCUUUGACCUUCCAAUGAGGACCAGAUAUUUUCUAGGAAUCCUCUGGGCCUUCAGUGACAGAUUGGGACUGCUGAGGAACCCAAGCUUGUGGACUAUGCAGUACUGGGUUCUCAGCCUCUCUACUAUGCAGGCAUCCACUGGCAGACUACUCAAAACAUAUUGUAUAAGCCAAUCUACUACUAAUUCCUCCCCCCACACCCCCUGACACUGUGGUAUGAUAAUCAUCAUAUUAACUCCGUUCCUUCCUAGAAUCUUGACUAACAUAACAUAUAACACCUGAAUUAGGAAUUGAAUAUGAAGAGGCAGGUAUCUUGCAUGAUAUUUUGUUGUUUAUCUUGUAGUUCAAAUUUAAUACUUAUUGAAUAAGUACAAGAGGCAUUUUGCUUCCAGUCCUCUUUUUAUUCCAUUUCCUUUUAAUAAUACAAAACAGAGCACAUUUCUACAUUCCUGGACAACCUUGGCUGUUAUAUUCUUGGGAAUAUAACAGGGAUAGUGAUUAAAAGACAAUAGCAUCAUGUUCUAGCAGUCAGAUAAUUUAGAAACUAGGAAUCUUGCUAACUUAAUAUUCAGUAUUAUUUCUCUCUCUCUCUCUCUCUCUC